rnacentral:rRNA from 1 species
UACGUAGGGUGCAAGCGUUGUCCGGAAUUAUUGGGCGUAAAGGGCUCGUAGGCGGUUUGUCGCGUCGGGAGUGAAAACGCCGUGCUUAACACGGCGCUUGCUUUCGAUACGGGCAGACUAGAGGUAUUCAGGGGAGAACGGAAUUCCUGGUGUAGCGGUGAAAUGCGCAGAUAUCAGGAGGAACACCGGUGGCGAAGGCGGUUCUCUGGGAAUGACCUGACGCUGAGGAGCGAAAGUGUGGGGAGCGAACAGG